rnacentral:misc_RNA from 1 species
AAGGGUGACAGCGUCGGAAAAACUAAAUUGUCGGAGUCUCUGCUUUUCGCACCUCUUUUACCUGAGUUCUGCGUUCUUGACGUCACGGGUGAUGAACUGAUUCACCCCACGACUCAACGGACCGUAUGAAGAGCAAAAGAAGUUCAUAUGGAAUGGCAGCCGGCUGGUGGGUGUUACGGGUGCAGUUCGUGGCGGUAAUGGUGGCCGUCAUGACGGGCGUUAGUGGUCUUUGUCCGGCACGGUGUAAGUGCGACGACGAGUUUUUGCGCGUAUCUUGCAUCUCGACUGGCCUCGACGUCGUUCCUAUUCAACUGAACCCGGAAAUCCGGCACAUCAACCUGGCCGGCAAUAGAGUGACCAGUCUUCAUCUGACCUUUGGGUUCUACGGCAAUCUCGAGACCCUCGACCUCAGCUCGAACCUCAUCCACACUCUAGGCUCUGACAAUUUUAAUCUCCAGCAGAACCUGCUCUCCCUAAACGUUAGCUUCAACUCCGUCCAGACGAUUUCCAAGAACGCAUUUCACGGCCUCAACGCCCUCAGGGAACUUGAUCUUAGUGGGAAUAACAUAACGGAAAUCGACAAGCAAGCACUCAGGUUCACCAGCGAAUUGGAAUCGUUGAAUCUUAGCAGAAACUCCCUCACAAGUCUUCCAGAUGGCCUGCUCAAGAAUCUCCACAAAAUUCGCACCCUGGUGCUGAACAAAAAUCCUCUUCUUGAGGCUCCCGCCAACAACCUGGCUCUCGCGCCAAGCUUGGAAAACCUUAACCUCGCCUACAACCUCAUACAAGAACUCCACAGAGACUCUCUGUCCUCCCUUCCGUCCCUGAUCACCCUGGACCUUGCAAACAACGUGAUAAGAGGCAUUAGUGAGGACGCAUUCGACCGUCUUCCGGGACUUUUGCGUCUCGAUUUAUCCGGGAACAACUUGACCUCGGUACCAACUGCUCCUCUUUCCAAACUGACUAUGCUGUCGAAGCUGAUACUCAGCCGAAAUCCUCUAGGAUCCCUCCAGACGAUCGCCUUCCAAAACCUGUUUGAGCUUCGUGACCUUGAACUCGAGGAGUGCUUAAUAGCGCGGAUUCACGCCAGAUCAUUCGCGGACAACAUUAAUCUCGAGCAGAUAUCGUUGGAUGGAAACACCGAGUUGGAAGAACUUCCAGAACGUAUUCUAUAUGGAGCGAGGUACCUGAAAUCCGUCUCGUUACGGAGGUGCAGUUUGGCGACACUGCAGCCGACCCAGUUUCCCGUCGACACUCUCGCCUCUUUUCAGGCCGGGGGUAACCCGCUUUUGUGCAACUGUUCCAUCCAGUGGCUGUGGAACGUGAUCCGGUCCGAGGAGCACCGAAACGAGUCCCGACUGAAGGUAGACUCCUUGGACAUCGUGUGUGCUGACGAGGAGUUCAAGGGCAAGAGGCUCAUUUCGCUACCUGAAAGCUCGCUACGGUGUCACUUGAGUCCCCUUUAUCUGUCGCUCUUCGCCAGUGGGUGCCUAAUCACGACGGCGGCGAUACUAGCCCUGAUAGUCUACGUGACCAAGGCGAAAAGGAAGAAGCAGCCGGCGUACACCGCGCCUAGGCCUGAACUCCUCGUCUACGUCGGCCAGGGUAGUGAGCUGGACAAGAACACCGAGUCGUACAGCAGACGACUGAUAGCCCAGCUUGAGGAGGUGGGCUACAACUCGCCUGGAAAGAUGCAGUGGGAUGCGCAACUGGCGCGACCCUCGCGGGACGCGAAAGACUUCAACCUCUACGAGACCCCGCAGUACGCAAGACCCAGUGUCCACGAGACGUCCACAGGGGUGUUGGUCCGGCCUCAGAGGUCCACCGACAUCUUGGACCCCUACUCAAGGCAGGACGAAGCCUACGCCGUGGCGGACGUUACCUCGCUGCAAGAAGAAGCUCCGGAAGUACUCUCUCUCUACCAUAUGCAGAGCUCUACCAACAGGUCAAACUUCCCCCCUGUCGUCGACUAUGAUGCACCCUUCCACUACCAGAAGCAAAAGCCGCACAUUGUUUUCGUCUGAUCGUUGGACAACGAGUGAUCAGUCCAAAGGAAAAGGGAUCGCGGAAUGAGCGCAGCUGAGGAAAUGGAAGGAUUCGUCAGACAAAGAAGCGAAUUUACUUUCGGAAUAUAACAAGGUCUCCGUGAGUCUGAUAGCAGCUGCUCGUUGAUGAAAAAGACUCCCUGACACAUUGGUCUUCAUAGGAGCGAGCCAUUAGGAUAGUACACGGUUGAACCUCGCUAACGUUACGCAGGAUCCCUACUAGGCCCCAGCGAAUUCCGCCACUUUUUCAAAUCUCGAUUCACGUUCGCGUGUGUGUAUGCGGAUAUUGAUGCUCGACUCGAGAGUGACUACUUGCAGUAGGUACUAUAGGAGGGUUGUUCAGUUGGGUAGGUGAAGUUGACGUUAGCGGGGUUACGCUGUACCAUGAAGUUGGACUUCACUUGCAAUUAUGAAGCUCAGAAUGAAUGUAAGUCAAAUGUGAGAUAACUGUGGCGUAUCAGCUCCGCUCAUUCGCUCACGUAAAAUCCGCAUAAUUUAUUAUAAAUUUGCUCAGCUGUCAGAAUUCAAAUAUUUUGUGAAUGUAGGUAAUAACGAAAAUAAGAUUAAUAAAAUCAAGCUUAAUUAUAGAUAUUAGUAAUAUGUAGCUCAAGAGAUGAUCGUGUACGACAAGUUGGGGGCUUUAAUGAAAAUAUUCCUCAGCCUUCUGCACUCGUCCAGAAGACACUUGCUUGAAAAUUUGUAAGUUCUCAGAGUCGCACUAAUUUCAGACGCAUCAUCGUGGUAUCGGGUACUGGUGUUACGUGAAGACCAACACAAAUGUACAAAUUGUAUGAUCAAAUGUACAAUCAAAGCAGUCAUUUCACAGGAUGUGUAUAGGUGUUCAUUAGAUGAACGAUGAACUAGGGUGAAUAUCAUUUUGCACUGCUCAGCUCAUUUAGAUUAGUUUUGCGAAACAUCACAGUCAAGUUGUGUGAGAGAUUCCACCGGGGCUUCAAAUGGGUUUUAUGCCCUCAGUUGAAAUCAGUCUUUUCCGAAAACAAUUCUGUUCAUAAUCUCUCUGUUCUCAAAUUUUCAGAAACAAAAGUAAAUCGUCUACUUUAGUUAUCAUAAAUCCGAUGAAACAUGAUAUUACGUUUUCUUAUUUUUUAAUCAUUCAUUUUUAAUAGCUUCAACCAAGUUCUAAAUUUAUUAUUUCCUAUGAAACCAUAAUUCUGAUGACAUAACUAAAAACUUAUAUUUUAUAGUUCUCGAUUAAUGUCUACGCUUUCAAAGUUUGAAAGUAUGGCCAGAAAUAAACAUGCGCUCACAAAUCUAGAUGUGAAAGUCUUGAAGUUAUAUUGUCGUUGAAAUUGGGAAUUCUUUAAGUUGAUUUGUACAUUUCUUGAUUGAUAUACAUAGUGACAAAAUUAUUCACAGCAAAUGAUGAAUCGUAAAAUGAUAAUAGACCGAAUCCAUUUCAAAUUGGUCAAGCAAAGCGAAAAUUGAUUGGACGAAAAUUUGUAACCUAACGAAAUUGGAAUAUGUUGUUUUCUAAGGUAAAAAAGAGACUCGUAUUUUCUUGUUUGACAGGAAAACGAAAUUCCUACAAAAUUAUGGCCGUUCGAAUAUUUACGCGCCCGCUACAGAUGUUCUAAUGAAACAAAUGCAUUUUUUCUUCAACACGCUAUAUCUUCGGAACGAAUUAAGAUAAUUGCAAGUUUCUGGUUUCAUUUUGUGAAGUUUUUAGCGUACUUUCACAGCCCAUGAAGAAGCUGGAAGUUGAAUAUAGCGCCCCUUUGUCAAAAAUUUGAAAAAAUUGGUUCUCUCAAAUCCGAUUUUUCUCUGUCCCGCAUUUCACACAAUAUACGGAGUGAUAUGCUUCAUUUAUCCCAUAAGUUUGAUGCUAUGAUAUGCCUUCGUAUGUGAAAACCAAAUUCCUGCGUUCUAAUGAAAUUUUCCAAUUUCUGUACUAUUCUUAAUGUUUUUAUACUAUUACAAACCACGGUGAGUUUUUGAUAGAAGAAAAAUUGUACUAGAAACUUGUUCCAGCUAUAGCUGGACUGCUGAAGUAAUAGAUAAUCGAACAACGUACGAUGUCCGAAUUCUAUAUAGACUAUAUUUCUAUUCAGCUAAACUACCAAAUGGUCUAACGCGAAACAUCGAAGAACUUUGUAAUUAAGAGUUUAUUUCAUUACACAAGGCAUUAAUUAUGUAGCAAUUUCUAAUGAAACGAUAGUUGAAAAGUCUCUUACACUUCUACGCCUGAUGAAAUUCUCGAUUAGGAAGUUCGUCGAUGUUUUACGCUAGACCCUUUGGUGCUUUGACUGAACAGAAAUAUGGUCUAGAAUUCCGACAUUGUACGUAGUUCGAUUCUCCAUUACUAUAAAAAGUCACUAUGUUGAUAAUUUUCAAAAAUCUUCUAGUUUCAUCGUGGGCUUUGAAAGAACGCCAAAAACUUCACACAAUGAGACCAGAAACUUGGAAUUGCGUUAAUUUGUUCCAUAGAUAUAGCGUGUUCAAGAAAAAAUUCGUUCGAUUUACUGUAAGAUUUUUAGCGAGCACGUAAAUAUUCGAACAGUCAUAAUUUCGUGGGAAAAAUGUUAUUUAGCCAAACAAGAAAAUAUGAGUUCCUUUUUUUUACCUCAGAAAACAUCAUAUUUCAGUUUCGAAGAAUUCUGCAACAUUACGUUUUCCGGGCUGCCCUAACUGAGAUGGAUUCGAUCAAUAUAUUAACAGUAUCAUAUUGAACUUCGAUAUAGUUUCAAUAAUCCAACAUGCACACUAUCAAGUGAAACUUUAGUGAUGUACGAACUAAAAUAAUCAAGAGAACAGUUAUUGUUGUAUUAGGAUUAUGAGUCCUUAGAAAGCAGCUGAAAUAAUUAUGAAAACUUUUUACUGAAAUUUAAAAUCAUGCUGCGCUAUCAUGACUACAAGUUUGACAUGCGUAACAACGAAAACUGAUAUGCGCUACUAGAUUGAUCAAAUUCCCGAAACUUCCUUAUAAGUAUACAUCAGUUUCAGACGUAUCGGAAAUUGAUAAUACUCGUUUGCGAUUCGUUCGUGCUUAGGCAGGAUUGUCAAUAGUCAUGGAAAGUACUUGUAAAACCUACUAAGUGUUAAUAAUUAGGGUUACGAUGGUGCCAAUUUUGAUUAUAAUAUACAUAUAAUAUUAUUAUAUAAAAAAAGUCUAAAGAUACGUGAAGAUUAUUAUGCGUUCUAUCAACCUUCUGGAAUACCACAGAGUAAUUCAUAUAAUACGAUUAUCCCGUUUUCCAAUAUGCUCACAGCUGUAUUUUCCCGAACGAUCCGAAUUUGAUUUUUAAUAUAAUUCCAUUACAAAUGACGAAGCAUUCCUAAAAGCUCGCUUGAACAACGGGGAGCUGCAUCGUCCAGCUUCUGAACUCGGACUUCGUUGAGAUAUUUUGCAAGUCACCUACGUGCCAAAAACACAGACAUUCGCAAUAAGGACCGGUGCAACUUAGCAGGUUGAGCGUCAGAUUGCGCAUGCGCGGGGUAUUCGGAAUUUAAUACAGACUGGCCACCUUAAGCCACAGCUGUCAAACGUAGCUUUCCGAGGUUAUGUAAGUGAUGCUAAUUUUUGAGGCUAAGCUGGUCUCAAAUAGUGGAUAUCAGCCUUAAGAAAAAGCUUAGCAAACAUUUUUCGUCAACUGACUAGUGGCCGAUGAUUGAUACGAGUCAUCAUAGCAACAUAAUUUUAAUUCCGCACUUCAUACGGAAGACAUUAAAAUCUCAUCUUCCAUUUCUAGUAAGUUGGCACCCCUGCCUUGCGAACGAAAAUAUUGCCGUGGUACGAUCUGUCAGAGCAAUGGAGUUCUAUUAGUUUUCGCAGGCGCAGUCACUCAGCCUGCUAAGAUUCACCGUUUCAUCUCUGCAGAUACAAGAACUUGAAAUAGCAAUUCACGAAGCUUGGUGCAUCAAGGUUUGAACCGCUUGAUAGUUGAUCGACAUGAUAUACAAUCAUAUCCUUUCAGUACGAUAUGUCCGCCUACUAUCCAAAGGAUGUAGCUUCAUUGCCAAUUAGAAUUGGUAGCCCUGUAUUCGAGUUACCAAACUACCGAAGUAGCAAUUGGAGAGCAUUCGAUCAUCUGCAACUGUUUCAUCAGCAUACGGUGUACAGAUAAAAAAUUAGCAAACAAUACGUGAAUCAGCCUGCCUGUCUAUCUCUUUAAUUCGUCAAUUGCAAUUUUCGCUGUCAGUGAAAGUAGGUAUUAUGUGAAUUUAUUCAUUUAUGACAUUUUUUUAAAUUUACGAAAGCUCAACAAAAAUGCUCUCACACAGUGAAUGAGGUAUUUUUUAAUUUCUGUUUCAGCUCAAGUUACGAAGUGUAAAUGCCAAUUAUAAUGAAAUAACUUGGAAUACCUACAUAUUUAUAACCUUAUACACACUGAGAACAGGUGUGCGAAAAACAAUUAAUCGUCUUCCGGUGUAGACUGUAUACAUUGCUGAGCUAUAUUUUAUAAAUCUACGGUGCACCUGUUUUUUUAUACUGCAAGGUUUUCUUGCAAGGAUCUGCCCGUAGCGCGCGCAAUUCAACUUGCUCAAUUUUGAUUCGCUGAUAUCCAUGCACGUAGCCUGAAACAAACUUUCACUGAUAAGAAGAAAUUCCCUAGAAUCAACCGAUUGACAAGUAACAGUUAACCAUAACCUCUCACCUAUUAACCCCUUGAUGGACAGAUAGGCUCACGGCGCAGCCAUGAUUCCUUACACAUCAGUCACUCUGUCCACCAUGCUAGUAAAAUUUUUACGAAACUGGCAACACAUAUAAGCUAGACGAUGGCAGGUCCUUUCAGGAAAACGUCUAGGUAUAUUCCUGCAUAAGAAUUAGCAAUUUUAAUCAAAAUAACACCAGUACACUUACAAGUAUGGUACGAAAUUCAAUAUCAUACACUCACACAGACAUAACACGAGGGCUGCUAAUUGAAAUAAAUGAGAAUUAUCGGUUCUCAAUUGGUUCUUAACAUUUAUCGGAUCAAAUCAUGUUGAUAGAAUGUUUCUAUACAAGAAGCGAUAAAAUUCAGUAGAAAUCAGAAGAUUAGAAUAGACGAAUAUUACGUACCUUUUACUAAUGUAAAAUGUGGAAAAAUAUUAUCUAUAAAAACUAUUUUAAAGAUUGCACAACGUCCUACACAUAGCAAUUCUUGCAGCACUCAAAGAACCAAAUCCAAUGUUGAAAAGGGUGAUGAUUUACUUUUUCUUUAAUGGUUUCUGAUAUUCUUCAAAAAAAUCUCACUCCAAAGUUGCUCGUGUAUAACGAAAUGGUAAUAAUCUUUUCUUGAAUUUGACGCUUAUAAUACAUGAGUAACACAAUAUCAAUCCUUUUCUUCAAAUCUGCUGUUUCAACUCUAAAUUUCAUGCCAUGCACGAUUCGUUUAUGUAGUAUAAUACAUGUAUGCAAGUAUUCAUCUGCCAUUUUGGGAGACAACAAGCUACAAUUUUCAUUGUCUUUGAUUACAUACGUAUUGUCAUGAAGCAAGUGAUUUCCAUCGUGUAAUCAAACGCCCUCAAGUUUAAAUCACACUUGGUUCAGCCAGAUUAGGAAAUACUCGUGCAAACUAAUUGGAUUGGAGGUAAACAUUCAGCCAAUAAUAAUCAAUCGAUACCACCAAUCAACCAAUUAACCCGAACAACGAUGAUUCGCAAACAUUGUUUAAUUACAUAGAAAUGUACAAAGAUAAUAUGUUGAUGCUACAGAGCCCGAUGAUUCAAUCCAUUAUCAUAGUUGCUCUCAAAUAUUUGCACAAGUAUAUUUAUAGGUUUCUAAUGGAUUGUUUUGCAAUGAAAUAUAUUUCAUCAGAUUGAAUCGUGUUUAAAAAAACGCUAAUAUCAUUCAACGGUAGCAAUAAUAAUACUAGGUUCCAAAAAGCAUCAUUGCCCUGAGCAAAAAUUUUUAAUCGUUAGUUCAUUUUAUAUGUAAUAUAUAUAUACAAGAUUUACGAUAGCACAUAGAUUAUGAUACAAGAUGGACGGAAUACUGCAAAUACUAAAUUUGCGAUGGUAAUUUUUGGCAGUAAAAAUUCUUAAAUUCUUACAUUGCGCCAAUUAUGCAGCGAAACCUAAGGUUCCGAUAACUAGAGCAUCAAAAACGCUGAAACAAGAGGAACGCCUCUGGACAUUCGAUGUCGAGGAUUUAGGUGCGGUGAAAAUUCUACGGAAUAGAUUAAUUCAGCAAUUGAAAUGUUUGAAUUACAAUUAAUACAAAUGCGAUGGAAUAAGUCAAACAUAUUCUAUUGUGAAUAUAUUUCUACACGCCGGUUUUAAGACGAUAAAACACAAAUUCUGCACAACACACGUUGUAGACGAAUAUCCGAUGUAACUCUUUUCGUUCAAUCCCAUAAAUUGCAUGUACGGGGAAUAUUUCUUGAAGGGAGGGGACCGAUGAAUAUUCCUUGUAUACAAGCUGAAUGCAAUAAUUUUCUAAAUAUAACGUUUAAAAAUCGUACUCAAUAAGAUUUCGUGCUAGCCAAUUGAAAUACAAAAACACAACGCCAAGUUUAUUCUAUACACAUACAAACACACGUAAUACACUAUAAAUAUUAUACGAUGCAUAUAAACCUUAUAGUUGUGCGGUACUUCAUUUACUGGCCCUGUUUGAAAUAUGUAAAAAUUGAAGCAAUAACAGUUAAGAUUAUAUUGUAUACAUAUAUAUAUAUACAUAUAUAAAUACCAAAUAUAUUAUAUAUUUAUAUAUUUAUUAAUUUGUAUGAAUGACAAUGUUACGUUUUGGAUAUAAAAUAUACUGACACAGUAUGAAUAAACUUAUGUUUGAAUAAUAUGAACCGCCGAGUUCGUGAAAUUAAGUAUUAUAAACGUAAUCGGUGUUCCACCAUUUUUUCCCCCAGACUGCACAUUGCACCCUGCACGUCUUUCUGUCUUUCUUAUUCACUUUCUUCUCUACUGAUCAUAAAUCACAGCUUAAAAAGAUUGAUUGCGUGAAA